rnacentral:rRNA from 1 species
GACGAACGCUGGCGGCGUGCUUAACACAUGCAAGUCGAACGAUGAAGCUGGAGCUUGCUCCGGUGGAUUAGUGGCGAACGGGUGAGUAACACGUGAGCCAUCUGCCCUUGACUCUGGGAUAACUGCGGGAAACUGUAGCUAAUACCGGAUACGAGGCUCGAAGGCAUCUUCGGGUCUGGAAAGAAUUUCGGUCAAGGAUGAGCUCGCGGCCUAUCAGCUUGUUGGUGAGGUAAUGGCUCACCAAGGCGACGACGGGUGGCCGGCCUGAGAGGGGAACCGGCCACACUGGGGCUAAGACGCGGCCCAGACUCCUACGUGAGGCAGUAGUGGGGAAUAUUGCACAAUGGGCGAGAGCCUGAUGCAGCAACGCCGUGUGAGUGAUGAAGUCCUUCGGGUUGUAAACCUCUCUGAGCAGGGAAGAAGCGAAAGUGACGGUACCUGUAGAAAAAGCACCGGCUAACUACGUGCCAGCCGCCGCCGUAA